AUUACCUGCCGACAUGAACCUGCCUAAGGCAACAAAGUGUUCUGAUAAAGCACAAGGUAAGUCAUCAGGUCUAAAAGCUAAAAAGAUAAUUUAUCAAGACAUGGGACAAAGGAAGGAAGAGCUAUUUAUUCAUCUCAGCUUUAUUCAGCAUAUAGAUAUUCACAAGUAACCAAGAGACAAUUUUCUUACCCUCAAUAAAAUAUAUCCAAAGUUACAUAUAGCAGGAUUUAUAAUAUAUGCCUACAACAUUUUCCAGGAUCAAAGCUACAGAAAGAAGGUGUGAUUCCAUGGAAACAAAGGAAGAAAAAGCCUGAGAAAAAAAGACCUGGAAUUUGAUUUGGACGUUUUUCACAUGUUAGGUACUCAAUAGAAUGUAUUUCUUGAUAUCAAAUUAAAGAUUAUCAUCAAACGAGCCUGAUUUUUUCUAACAAAGCUCUGUAUUUAUAUUUAAAUGUAGGAUACAUGAUUUUAUAUAGUUAUAAAAAAAGAAAAGACAGAUGGAAUUUAACUGGCUCAAUUUCUAGGACAAAAUAGCAGUGCAACAUGGCGGAAUAUAAAAGGGCACUGUCAUCUACAGUCUCUUUAACAGAGCGUGCCAAAAGUUGGUGGCACCACUGUUAGACUGUUCAAACAACAAACAGAGCUAAUAUACUGAGUUAUAGAUGUAUUUCAAAGAGAAAUGAAUAUGAGGUAGACAAACUAAUGAAUGACCCAGGUCUGGAUGGUCACUGUGCAAGAUGCUGAGGAGUGAGACCAAAUGUUUUCAAGGAGCACAGUUGCUUAGGAGACAUUGUGAUAAUACUGGAAGAGAAAUCUAGAAUCCUGAAAGGACAAAAGAACUGGCCUAGGCCUGGACAGGGAAGUUGCCCUGGCCCUGGAGAAAUCUGAUCUGCAGAACUGCACAAAUGCCUCUAUCCCUCUAAGGGAGAUCUCACACCCUGGCAAGGGGGAAUUUGGACACAAACGGACAUACAAGAAUGCCAUGUGACCCUGAAGGCAGAUAUCAGAUGAUGUUUCUACAAGCCAACAAAAUGCCAAAGAUUACCAGCAAACGACCAGAAGCUACGAUCAAGGAAUGGAACAGAUUCUCUCUCAGAGUCCUCAGAAGGAAGAACCCUGCUGAUACCUUGAUCUCAGACUUCCAGCCUCCAAAACUGGGAGAUGAUGCAUUUCUUUCGCUCCAUGAAGAAAGACAGAGGAAUUGAUGUGUGUUCAAGACUUGAGAGCCAUGGAGAGGAGCUGGUAUCACCACUGCCUGCAGCUCAGGCCCAUCACUGCAUCCUUCACUCCACCAUUCCUCACCUGGAUUCACCUCACCCCUGACGUUAGAACCUGAACACGCCUCCGAAACUGGUGAGACAGAGGAGAGAAACUAAGCAUACAGUACCUGUCCUGUCUUGUCAAAGGGAAGCCUGACCUUCGUGAGCACAGAUAAGACUUCAGAAUCCUUCUCAGUUCUGCAUUCCAGGCAGUCACUACCAGUCAGAUGGAACUGACAUUCAAAAUGUAAUUUAUUUCCAGUCUUGGCCUUCGAGGGCAUAUACCCUAAAAGUCUAAAAGGUUCGUUGACAUAUUUGGAUAUUUUAAUUUUAUGUGCCUGGAUAGAAAGCUUUGUUUUAAAAGUUGGUGGCCGAGCACAGUGGCUCACUCCUAUAACCCCAGCACUGUGGGAGGCGGAGGUGAGCAGAUCAC
rnacentral:lncRNA from 1 species